rnacentral:rRNA from 1 species
GCUUACGCAUGCAAGUCGAGGGGUAACGGGGAUUGCUUGCAAUUCGCUGACGACCGGCGCACGGGUGCGUAACGCGUAUGCAACUUGCCUCAAACUGGAAGAUAGCCCGGGGAAACUCGGAUUAAUAUUCCAUAGUAUCCAUUCUUCGCAUGUUGAAUGGAUUAAAGCUUCGGCGGUUUGAGAUGGGCAUGCGUGACAUUAGCUUGUUGGUGAGGUAACGGCUCACCAAGGCUUCGAUGUCUAGGGGGCCUGAGAGGGUGAACCCCCACACUGGUACUGAGACACGGACCAGACUCCUACGGGAGGCAGCAGUGAGGAAUAUUGCGCAAUGGAGGAAACUCUGACGCAGCCAUGCCGCGUGCAGGAAGACGGCCCUACGGGUUGUAAACUGCUUUUAUUUGAGAAGAAACCCUGGUACGUGUACCAGGCUGACGGUAUCAAAUGAAUAAGCACCGGCUAACUCCGUGCCAGCAGCCGCGGUAAUACGGAGGGUGCAAGCGUUAUCCGGAUUUAUUGGGUUUAAAGGGUGCGUAGGCGGGACAUUAAGUCAGUGGUGAAAGCCUGUAGCUCAACUACAGAACUGCCAUUGAUACUGAUGUUCUUGAAUUUGGUUGAGGUAGGCGGAAUACGUCAUGUAGCGGUGAAAUGCAUAGAUAUGACGUGGAACACCGAUCGCGAAGGCAGCUUACCAAACCAACAUUGACGCUAAUGCACGAAAGCGUGGGUAGCGAACAGGAUUAGAUACCCUGGUAGUCCACGCCGUAAACGAUGAUCACUCGCUGUUGGCGAUAUACUGUCAGUGGCUAAGCGAAAGCGUUAAGUGAUCCACCUGGGGAGUACGCUCGCAAGAGUG